UGUUCGGAGGGUGUGAUGGUCAUUACCUCAAAUCAGAGUUAUGGGAUAUGCAGCGACUUACUCUAGAGUUUUUGGUUUGACUCAAGACUUGGUUUGACUUGGUUUGACCUGGAAUAACAGGGAUCUAGGUGGGUAGAGGAAAUGGUAAGAGAAAUUUUGGUGGAGAUCCUUACUUUCAUUGAAAUUUGCCAUAGGUGGCUUAUAACCUAAAUCAGCCAGGCUCCAGUGUGCUCUUGUCAGUGUGACUUCUCUUGGCAAGAACUGGGUCUUCUGCUGUAUGUUUGUAAAGCUCUUCAUUUAUCAGGGCUCUGACUUACUAAUUACAGGAUGGGUGAAUAUUGAAAUUUUAUUAUCUAGGGCUGAACAGGCAUAAACUUGCUAUUUGUCAUCUCUACUGAAUUAUUCUUACAGUGUUGUUGAAUAAAACACAGCACAACUUAAUUUUUAUUAUAUUUGUGCAUUGAAUCUAACCUACUGACAACAGUGAACUUCGUCCUGUGGAAACACUGCUAUUCUUUGUCCUAUGCUCUCUUAAACAAAGUAAUCUGUGAGGUGUUCAUCUACAGGCAUAAAAGAUCCCCUAUAAAUGGAUGCAUAACCCAACUUCAUAAGACUUGUGUAUUAAUUUGCUUAUUUUCCAUCUGAACAAAGGAUCUUAAGAACCCAUAAACAUGGUCAGAAUCAUCUUGAUCCAAUUUGCUACAUAGUUUUGCUUGACUCUGCGGAUGUCCUCUGUGUAUUUGGCAAAAGAGGGGUCAAACACUGUAUCUGGGCCUACUAUUUCUAGUAAACCCGCUGAUGUGUUCAAUCCUUCUUGAACAUGAAUCUUCUGCGUGCUUAUUUUGGUUUAUUAACCCAAUUGCUUGAGACACAGAGAAAAAAUCUGGAACUGCAGCCUUCGUUUAGGAAAGCGCAUGCUCAAGUAUUUCUACUCUGAGUCCCUCCAAGCUCAGUGCAAAGUACGUGAAGGACCCUGAUGCGCACAACAAUGCUCUCCAGAGACGCGGGUAAGCCUAUGCAUCUCCCUUUGCAAGGUUUGAGUACGGUUGGCUCUUACGGUCUGCAUGAUUUAGUGGAACCUGCACCAUGCAGACACCCAAAUGAGGUCUGAGGGAGGGCUCUGGUUGUAUCAACAAACCUCUCCAUGCCUGAGGAAUCCCAGCCCAGCCAGUGUCACACGGGGCUCUCUGCUCCGGAGCAACGCUGACACAGGCUGAGCUCGCUCGGAGACUGCACCAGGGCACUGCGCUGCACGUACGCACAGGCUGUUAGCGAGUUGUUUUAUCAAGGAAGCCAGGUUUCACAGGAUGUUACCCCAUGCAGUUUCAUUAAAUAAUCCUCUCUGUCCCUUCAAAGAAGACCCGGAGAUUGCCUCUUCCUACAUGCUUUGGGAAUGUAUGGUGACAUAGCAUCAGUACAGCUCCCACUCCCCAUUUGUCCCGUGGCAGUAUUUGAGGGGUCCCAGCACAGGCGCAAUAUGGACACGGCAAGGAGAGAUGGAUGCUGUCCCCCAGUGCCUUGCAGUGAAAGUGUGUUUCCCCAGUGAGUGGCAGGAUGAAUAACAUGCUUAACAUUUUCUGCGGAGCUCCACAGCCUGUGUGACGAGGCAGCCGUUGUCUGGGUCAUAAUACCUCCCUUCCUGUUACUCACAGAGUUACUGACUAAUUCACACAUUUCUGGCCAACGUUUUUCCAACUUGGCUGCCUCAAAGGCGGCUCCUCUGACAAGAGCGGAUCGGUUUCAGGAGGUGCUAGGGAGGCCCUGCUGUCAAGCAGAGUCAAGUUUGCAAUUGCUGACCUAUAUUUUCUUUAUAAUAGUGAACUCUGCAGGCAUUAUCAUCGCAAUUGGAAGCGGGUAUUUUUUUUAAUCCCGUGAAGCUGAUCUGAGUGUGCUGCAAACAGCCCAGAGAGACCCAGGAACAGCGAGGCUGCACGAGCAGGAUGGUUUCCAGCCCGUGGCAGAGCUGUCUCUGCGGGGCAGACUGCAGUGCAAUUGCUGCUGACAGAGUAAAGCAUGCAAUGGGUAUCUGUGAAGGUGUCCGCUGGAUGCUAUUAGUGCUUCUUCCUCAAGCUGGGUGUGAGAAAAGGAAACCAAUGGAAGCAAUAACGGAAGCCAAUAAACAGCCUUGCAGAAAGAAAACUUUUGAAUUAUGCAUUUCACAAGAAACAGCAAUUGUUCAAGGCCAAGAUUGUCAAUGCCCAUCUCAGAGUGCUGCUUUCCACGAUGACGAUGACCAGAUGUUUAGUCCAAGCUGCCUAACCCUUGUUUCACAAGUUCAGGCUUUUCCUGUGCUCUGGGCCAAACCCAAAGCUCAUAGGUGUGAUGGAGUGCCUCCAUGGGCUGUGGGGGCUUUCAGAUGUUUUCAAAGCUCCAAUGUUGUUUGUAUAAAUAUUAGAAAGCAGUUCUCAAGCGGCUCUCACUAUGUUUUGAGUGCUGUUCACUUCUGGGCUUUGAAAACGUGUCAGAUGUAGACAUCAGUAAAAACCCACCACCGUGAGUGACACUGGAGUGAAGCCUAGGCUGGGGAAAGAGGGAAUUGAGAAAGCUUAGCUCACGCUACUUGCAUUACGUCUUGAAUAAAUUUCUCUCCCUCUUCUCUCCGGAGACAUCUCGGUGAGCAUCACAGGGGCAGCUGUGUUUCAGGCAUUAGCAAAUGAUUUUAUGUGCUGACUUAAGGAAAAUUAAAUUUUGGCCCUUUGUGCUCUUUCCCAAAGCAUGUACUGUAAGUACAUUAUUUUGUGUAGUGAUGAAUUGCUGUGGCUCUUAAUUAUCAGUCUUGACUGAUCUUAACAUGGCUUUAUCUCAUGAAAGCCAUUUACAUCAUGAGAUUUGUCUCCAAGCUAUGCUCCACAGGGUUGUGGAUGAAGUCCAGAGAAGCAACAGGUCUCACGGUUUUCCUUCUCGUUUCUAAUCAAGAAGAGUGGAGCUGACUGGUCAGUGGCAUGGGGACAAUCACUAUCUUUGGCUUCCAGUGACAAUGAGUUUUCAUGCAGGUAAAUGUUUCUGAAAAUCCUUUUUCACCCAGCAGUUCUCGGGCUAGUGGAAGUAGCUCUGUAAGAGGAUUCACAUCCAGAUUUGGAUUCAACUCUGUUAGAGUCUGAUCUGCCUAAUGGCCAGUACUGAGUGAUCCUCAGCUGAAUCAAGACUGAGAAGCCUGGGACAGAUGCUGCAUUUCAUGCCUCAGUUGUGUCCUCAUCAGCAUAUAGCAGCACAGUGCAAUUUGCUUGGGCUUAGAGCUUGUCAAGGAAAUUUCCCUUUUAAUCCAUAAAUGCAGGGCAUUUGUCAGAUUUAUUCUGUUUUCACUUCUCCUGUGGUGUGUACUGUAGCAUCUUUGACAUGAUAGUGUGGCUCGGUGCCCCUUCGACAAUUGUCCACUGCGUAGGUGCCUCCUGGACAUGUACAGUGAAAGAGGAUGUUUUAGCCCAAAAUUCCAAUGCAUAAAUUUGUCCUACAACUUUCCAAAUUAAAUUACUCAUCUAGAAAAAUCCUCAAAUAUUUCCACGUUAUUCUACCCCCUCUCCUGUCCAACACAUUCGCAUCUUUUACACCCUACUUUAGCGAAGCUCAGAAGAGUCAGUGGAAAGCUUAUCUGUAUCCUCUGUGAGUCCUGGGUCUGUAAGCACACCUGCAUUGUCCUUCGCCCUUCUAAGGGGUUCUUAAACUCUGAGAUACCAUAUAUGCAAACCAAACAGUGCCUUAAAUUACUUCCUCUUCUAUUAAACACGGAUACAGAUGAUUUGGGGGGUUAUAUAUAUGCUUUUCUGAACCACCAUGUGUUUUCCAGAAUUGCAACUUUCAUGGCUACGGCUUAUUUCCAGUGCAGGAGAGCCAUGCCCAGAAGCUCAAACUGCGAAGUGACGUGCAGAACCCUCAGAACCCUCCCAUGUGUUUCUUCCUAUAGAUGAAGAUCCACACAAUGAAGUUGGCUGCUGUCUCCAGCACCCACCUUAUAAGCUUUCCCUGUACUCCACUGAGGGGCCGUGCAGAGGACCAACCAGUCCAGCAUUACCGUGUGCCUUUCCUUCACACACACUGAUGGGAAGAUGCCAAAUGACAGAAGAAUUCAGCCCUCCUCUUGCUUGCACGCAGGAUAAGCUGGGAGGAACCCUCCUGGAAUAAACAGGCUCGCAGGGUUAUUGUAAACCUCCCAUCAUUUUGUGAAGAACUUGGAACAACAUCUAUUGAAAUACAGUGCGGAAACAUGCUUGUAAAUUUACCAAGCAUCCAUUGCCCUUCCUUGUAGUGGGCUGCAAACAUCCCUUUGGACCUCUUUUUGAUAAAGCAGUAUACGGAUGUCCUGUGUGCCCCACGCUACCAAAGCUUCACUACUUCGUGCUUUGCUGAAUUAUAGGAUCCUUUGCCGUUGUGCACGCUGUCGCUGAAACUCCAUCAGGUUAUCUCCAUCCCACGUGCUGUUAAUCAACCAUGGGAGCAGUUGGCAUUUUACAGGCAGCUGGGGGCCUGGUGCCAGCUGUGUGUGACAGGGUGUUUUUCUUCAAAGGCAUAGGACAUACUCCAAUGGAAGCAGGUACUCACAGAAGCACUUGAAGUCAGCUGGGACCACCCCUCCACUGUGUCAAAGCAUGGCUCCACAUCUUCAUAUAUUCCUCCUUGUAGAUUUUGGGCCAAGCACCUUUAAACUGCAGAAAAUCAAGAUUUCUCUUCUCCCUCUCCUCGUACCUAAUUUCAACAUUGUUCUGUUUUCCUUGGUGUGGUUCUUGUCCUGCUGUCUGCCAGGCAUGCUUCCUUCUACUCCAAACACAUAUAAAACUUACAAUGUAUUUAAAAAUAAAUGUUUGUUAUGCCCUGUCCCUCAUGCUCAUCCAGAGUAGGAAGGGGAGGGUUCUUUAUCAGGGAUUGCAGGGGUAGGGUGAGGGGGUAUGGUUUUAAGCUGAAAGACAGGAAAUUUAGGUUAGGUAUUACGAAGAAAUGUUUUCCUGUGAGAGCGGUGAUGCACUGGCCCAGGUUGCCCAGUGAAGUCGUGGCUGCUCCAUCCCUGGAGGUGUUCAAGGCCAGGUUGGAUGGGGCUUUGAGCAGCCUGAGCCAGUGGGAGGUGUCCCUGCCCAUGGUGGGGGGAUGGAACUGGAUGGGCUUGAAGGUUCCUUCCAACCCAAACCAUUCUAUGGUUCUAAGUACCUUCUUUUCGUUAGAAGGCAGCCACAGAUUAGUAGUCAAGAGAACAGCUUUAAAAAAUGUCUCCCUUUGAGCUCCUUUCAGGAUGCUUGUUUUACUGACUGCAUGCGCUCUCGGAUACCCAGGCAGGAAAGGGCCUUCGGCAUGUGCUGCUGCAAUCAGUUAGAUAAGCAAGUUUAGAGCGCGAUGUGUCCAUGCUUCUCUGUACUGCAGAUACACCACCUGCACUCACUGUGGACUCCUGAAUACGACCAAGGGCUGUUGGGAAGGAAGAUUUUUAAUCACUGCCUGAGUUCAUGUGUUAUAUAUAUAUUUCAGCAGUGGUAAUGGUGUGUAAGCCUGGAAAAUUUGUGCUUGACUCUUUAUUGUUGCUACAUUUUCUUAUUGCUUGCACAGUGAGAAAAUUUACCGUGACACCACAGAAGGCAGUGUCAAACCCCAACACUGCUGCACUGAGUCCUCUUGUACAGCAGAACUAUGCUUUAAAAUGUUAAGAGGCAUCUUCUUUAUCUGUCUUCAUCUCCUCCUCCCUUUCCCCAGCUGUUCUGCAGUAAGUUUGUCAUCCUCCUCCUCAUCGAUUUCUACCACAGGGCUGCUGGGUGAAGCCACCACUAAAUUCUUUCUGAUGGAGGGGGAAAUAUUUAGCUCAGUUUUGCUCAUGAUAUCCUGCAAGAGCAGCAACUAUGAAAACUGUGAAGACGUCUAAAAACACAACUGUGGUCCUUCUAUGACCCUGAAGAUCAUGAGCUGCUUGCUUGCUUUGCCAGAGUAACGGUUUGUGUGCUCUGCAGUCCCAAGUGCUAAAUGUACGAUAGUCAGCACUGGAGUGAGGAAACUCAAUUACAGUUGCAGAGAUUAAUGUCCUGUCAGCUCAUGGGACUACUGUUCUUUGUAACUGUGACCCACACAAGGCUGCAAGGCCUCGUAAUAACGUUUAGCUGCCUACUAGCAGCUCAAUGUGUCACCUGUUUUCUGACACCAGCUCCGUUUUUCAGCAGCGGCUUCUGCUUUCCCUGUCUUGGGACCUUGGUCUGAACUUAAAAAAUCCAUUCUUGUGCCUGAACUUAGGCUUUGUGUGUGGUCGUUUCACAGCUUUUAGGGAAAACAGCCUGGUUUUGUGAGGGAGAGGGAAUAUCCCGCACUGUUGCAUUGCGUGGAGCAUCAAACCUAUAUCUUUAAUUCUCCGCAAAACCAUUAAAUAGAAAGCUACAGUAAUUUCACUCGAGGUUAAAUGCUGUCUUAAAUGCAAGGAGGGAAUUACAGUUGUAGAAAAUUAACAGUUUCAUUUUAUUUCAAGUAUGUUUUCUCUCAGUUUUAAAUCUUAUAUUAUGCAGAUAUUUCUACAUCUGUCCUAGUUUUGAUGCCAAAAUAUAUAUUUUGGGGUAUAAUUCCAUAUACUUCUGAGACAAAAAGGCAGAGGUAAGACUCUGUCAUGAUGCAGAAAUACUUCUGCACCCUCAGCAGCACAAGUAGAAGCUGAGGCCUGACAGAGGAGGUAUUUCUGAGAAAAAUCAGCAUAUUUCUCCUGGGACUGGAACAGAGAGGCACACAGUGAUAGGGACGAGACUAGGGCUGCAUACCAAGUUGCAUGCAUGAUGCCAGUGUCUUUUCAUGUUUGCUGGCACUGAGGUUUUGAAUCUCGUUAAAGGAAAGAGCACUGCGCGUUAUAGGUGUGUAGGCUCCUCAGAAGAAAUAAAACCUCUGCCCUGGAGAUUUGCUGAGACCUGAGCAGCAGGAGGUAGCUUUUGCCAAUUUACAGAGGGAGGUAAAUGAAUGGGAAUAUUCUCUGCCUUGCAAAGGCUUUGCCACAGGAAUCGCUCAUGGAUCGGGAGUUCUUUGGCAUCUUACAGAGAGUCUUCAAUCCACACACACAUACACGGCAGACGGCUGUGCCUGUGCGCUCAAUGCAUCUUUCAAAAUCAUUGCUAUGAUGUGAGUUUAAACUGAUGCUUUCCAUACCCCUGAAUCCUGGAAGGGUGGGUCCUGCCUGCGUUACAGAAUGGGAUUGUCCUGGGCACAGUUUGGAUAAUGGUAAAUGAAAGGGCAGUUUUGCUUGAAUACAGCAGAAUACCUACCUGGAAAGGUAGGAGAUGCUGGUACGAUUGCUAGAGUCAGGUCUGCUUACCAGUAACGUAUCAAGGGUGGGGCAAUGGUUCUUUAUUGUAAUUCUGUUUAAAGCUUUUGAAACUGUGACUCUUCAUAACUUCAGCAGCUCCAGAGCAGCACAGCUCCACUGACUACCACGGACCUCUGCUGAUGCUAUGCCUUCAUAUGUUUUUUUUGCUGAGGAAGGUGAGGGCUGUGGCAGCACCAGGAGCGUUGUGAUGCUCGGUGAGGACAGCAGCUCUGGCAAGCAGCCCUGUCCUCUGCCUCACCGCCUGGCUCUGCUCGUGCAACGUGGGCUGGCCUUGAGCAGCCUCCGCGGAAUGAUUUAUUAGCUUCCUCCCAAACAGAGAUCAAGGCAUGGUGGAGCAGUGCUCAUCACAGUUUGGAUGAGGACCAGCCUCUGUUUGCCUGUUUUUUCUUACAGUCACAACUUGGAGCCCUUUCACCAUUUCAAAGGAGCAGAGACAGGCAUGAAACCCCUGGGAGUACUUUUUCUCUGUGUGCAAGUUGCUUAUUAUUAUUGUACAUUUUGUCACUUGGAUUAUACAUAAUCAGAAAUCAGAGCCAAGCAAAAUCAGGAUGAUAAAUACAUUACCACAAGCAAAAUAUAUGGAAUAUUUGUCUUGGUGUUCAUUUAGUUAGCCAUUUUGCACUAGGUAUUUCAACAGAGCAAUUUAUCCUCUUCAGUUCCUUGGCCUAACUAUGUUAGCAGAGGAUAAAGUAACGAUUGCUACAAUGAUGGGUAAAUUACUGUCCAAGCUGGUGAACCCCACAUAUUUUUGUUACCUACUAAGAUUUAUCUGUUGAAUAUUUCUCCACAGGGAACUAAGAGAGAACUGGCCCUUCAGAUGCAGAUAACAACCAUCUCAUGUCUGUUAUUGGCAGAGGUUGUGCUCUACUUAAAAUCUAACUUAUUCCAAAUGUCACUUCCAGAUGACCCAAAGAGAAGUGCUUGCAGAUGCCUGAGUUGAAGAGAGCAGCAAGGGAAAGGGCUUUACAUGUAUCCAUCUCAUCAGGAAGUUUUGUCACAUUGCCAAAACCCCAAAACAAUCGAGUUGCCAAACCCAGUUUCUCUCGCCCUCUAAAUCAGUUCAGUAUGCUGUGCAGAAAAACAGUCUGAACAGCAGUGUCCUUGAAGGAGCUGGUAUGGCUUGCUUAUUUUUGAUUGCAAAUAAUGGACCAGAUGUUCCGCCUUUACUGGGAAACUCAAAGCGCAUCCCCACUGCUGUGUGGCCAGACCCACGACUGGCGGAGUGGCUCACGUGCCACUUGGGGCACUUUUCUUCCCUGGAGCUGCUUGGUGUCUCCCUCCUCUCCCUGGGUGUUGUCAGGCUGGGUGUGGGUGUUUGUGCUCCAAACCUUUCCCUACCCCAUCGCAUGCCCUGUCACCACUGACCCUAAUCCCAGCACCGCCGUGACUCAGCCUUUCUGUAGCGCAGCUCCUGCCUCCCUCCCUCUCCAUGCCUGACCUCGCGUACACUCAGAUGCGCUUCACUCUUGCAUUUUGGUUUAUAUACUUAUUUGGAGUCAGAAAAAGCAUAAACAGAAAAAUAGCUGCUGUAACACGUUACCUGACUUGUCCUUUUCUGUGUGGCUUGGCUGCCGCCCCAGCUUGCUGGAGCAGCGCUCGGCAGUCCCCAAGCCUCUCAGGCUCUGGCAUCUGGUCGGCUUUCAGCUGGAGCAGAAGCCAGGCAUUUACAGUGAGGAACGGUGCUUGUAGGAGAUGUUUGUGUGUGGUAAUAUGUUCAAUGGCUCUCAGUCUAAGUAUCGAAUAAUGCAGAACACCCUGGAAAAACUGUUGGCCUUUGGUACUUUCCACUUUGGUGAUCAUGUACAAAGCAGCUAAUAACUGUAAUAAAUCGGUUACAAGUAUAUUUGGUUCCUCUUCUAUUGCUUAUUUAAGCGAGAAGUUAAAUCUGACUUCCUGGCCUUGUUUAGAAAAUCUUGGUAGACUUCUUUUCUUGUCUGCAGAAGAGAUAUUGCUGUUUACCUCACUCUUUUUACUAUGUUUCAGAUUUAAUAUUCUAGAAUUCAUUGAUUUACUGUUUGAGUCAUUAGAAAGUUAUUAAUUUUCGGGUUCUAGUGAGGAUUAAUCUAUCAAGACAUGGUUUUACAGAUACUCUUCCAAUAAGACUAGCUGCAUUAACUUGCUGAAUCAUGUGUUGUAUACGAGCAUCAUUUGGGGUGAGACUUAUCUCAGGUGGCAGUAUCUCCUGUUUGCAAUAUGAAUGUGGCCCACAAACUUGUCA